AGUGAACGCUGGCGGUAGGCCUAACACAUGCAAGUCGAACGGCAGCACAGUAAGAGCUUGCUCUUACGGGUGGCGAGUGGCGGAUGGGUGGGGAAUACAUCGGAAUCUACUCUUUCGUGGGGGAUAACGUAGGGAAAUUUACGCUAAUACCGCAUACGACCUCCGGGUGAAUGCAGGGGAUCUUCGGACCUUGCGCGAUGGCAUGAGCCGAUGCCGGAUUUGCUAGUUGUCGGGGUAAAGGCCCACCACGGCGACGAUCCGUAGCUGGUCGGUGAGGAUGGUCGGCCGCACGGGAACUGAGACACGGUUAAGGGUACUACGAGAGGCAGCAGUGGGGAAUAUUGGGCAAUGGGCGGAAGCCUUAUCCAGCCAUCCCGCGUGGGUGAAGAAGGCCUUCGGGUUGUGAAGCCCUUUUGUUGGGUAUGAACAGCAGCAGGUUGAUACCCCGCUGUUCUGACGGUACCCAAAGAAUAAGCACCGGCUAACUUCGUG
rnacentral:rRNA from 1 species